AGUCACUGACAUUAGAUACCCGCGUAGUCCAGGGUGUAAACGCUGCAGACUUGGUGUUGGGAACCCUUCGGGGGUGCUCAGUGCCGGAGAGAAGUUGUUAAGUCUGCUACUUGGGGAGUACGUCCGCAAGGAUGAAACUUAAAGGAAUUGGCGGGGAGCACCACAACGGGUGGAGCCUGCGGUUUAAUUGGACUCAACGCCGGAAAUCUCACCGGAUAGGACAGACAUAUGAUAGUCGGGCUGAAGACUCUACUUGAUGAUCUG
rnacentral:rRNA from 1 species